rnacentral:rRNA from 1 species
GAUGAACGCUAGCGGCAGGUCUAACACAUGCAAGUCGAGGGGCAGCACAGAAACAGCAAUGUUUUGGUGGCGACCGGCGGACGGGUGCGUAACGCGUAUGCAACCUACCUUUAACAGGGGGAUAACGGAGAGAAAUUUCCACUAAUACCCCAUAACAUCGAUCAAGGCAUCUUGAUUGGUUGAAAACUCCGGUGGUUAAAGAUGGGCAUGCGUUGUAUUAGGUAGUUGGUGAGGUAAUGGCUCACCAAGCCUACGAUACACAGGGGGACUGAGAUGUUCGCCCCCCACACUGGUACUAAGACACGGACCAGACUCCUACGGGAGGCAGCAGUGAGGAAUAUUGGUCAAUGGGGGCAACCCUGAACCAGCCAUGCCGCGUGCAGGAAGACGGCUCUAUGAGUUGUAAACUGCUUUUAAACAGGGAUAAAGCACAGUAUGUAUACUGUGUUGAAGGUACUGUAAGAAUAAGGAUCGGCUAACUCCGUGCCAGCCGCCGCGGUAA